rnacentral:lncRNA from 1 species
CGCGUUUCACAUUUGAACUCACACCGAGUUCGAUCCUUGGCUGCAGCGAAUUUCAAAUGCUUUCAUCUUUUUUUCAUUUUCCCUCCAUAUAUCAUAUACCAUGCUUCACAUGCUUUUUUUUAAUUUUUUCUCAUCUUUUAAAAAUCAUAACAAUUUGAAAACUCAUCCAAAAAUUACCAGGUUUUUUGCAUUGUGAUCCUUAUUCUUUCUAGUUUUAUAUCAUCAUGAUUUUACAAGUUGUGCUUGGCUGGAUUUUUUUUGUGCUAGAAUGUUU